UUCACGCAAGAAAACGUCUAGCCAUGGCGUUAGUAUGAGUGUCAGUGCAAGCCUCCAGGACCCCCCCUCCCGGGAGAGCCAUAGUGGUCUGCGGAACCGGUGAGUACACCGGAAUUGCCAGGACGACCGGGUCCUUUCUUGGAUCAACCCGCUCAAUGCCUGGAGAUUUGGGCGUGCCCCCGCGAGACUGCUAGCCGAGUAGUGUUGGGCCGCGAAAGGCCUUGUGGUACUGCCUGAUAGGGUGGCUCGAGAGU
rnacentral:other from 12 species